rnacentral:rRNA from 1 species
UACGAAGGGGGCUAGCGUUGCUCGGAAUCACUGGGCGUAAAGGGUGCGUAGGCGGGUCUUUAAGUCAGGGGUGAAAUCCUGGAGCUCAACUCCAGAACUGCCUUUGAUACUGAAGAUCUUGAGUCCGGGAGAGGUGAGUGGAACUGCGAGUGUAGAGGUGAAAUUCGUAGAUAUUCGCAAGAACACCAGCGGCGAAGGCGGCCCACUGGCCCGGUACUGACGCUGAGGCACGAAAGCGUAGGGAGCAAACAGG